AUACGUAGGUGGCAAGCGUUGUCCGGAAUUAUUGGGCGUAAAGCGCGCGCAGGUGGUUCCUUAAGUCUGAUGUGAAAGCCCCCGGCUCAACCGGGGAGGGUCAUUGGAAACUGGGGAACUUGAGUGCAGAAGAGAAUAGUGGAAUUCCAAGUGUAGCGGUGAAAUGCGUAGAGAUUUGGAGGAACACCAGUGGCGAAGGCGACUGUCGGGUCUGUAACGGACACUGAGGCGCGAAAGCGUGGGGAGCAAACAGGAUUAGAUACCCGGGUAGUCCACGCCGUAAACGAUGAGUGCUAAGUGUUGGGGGGUUUCCGCCCCUCAGUGCUGCAGCUAACGCAUUAAGCACUCCGCCUGGGGAGUACGGUCGCAAGACUGAGACUCAAAGGAAUUGACGGGG
rnacentral:rRNA from 1 species